UACGUAGGGGGCGAGCGUUGUCCGGAUUUAUUGGGCGUAAAGAGCGUGUAGGCGGCCAGGUAGGUCUGGUGUGAAAACUCGAGGCUUAACCUCGAGAUGUCAUCGGAAACCAUUUGGCUAGAGUCCGGAAGAGGAGAGUGGAAUCCCUGGUGUAGCGGUGAAAUGCGCAGAUAUCAGGAAGAACACCAAUGGCGAAAGCAGCUCUCUGGGACGGUACUGACGCUGAGACGCGAAAGCGUGGGGAGCGAACAGG
rnacentral:rRNA from 1 species